GGGAAGUGUUUCAGUUAGAGCCCUGAGGAUGCUUAGCUCUGGGAAGGCGUGGGGAGCAGUGUUUGGGAAGAGGUUUUGGGGAGGCCUCUGGGGUGCUUGCUUCCAGGCUCGUAAGGUGGUCAUGAAUCACUUUCUGAGUGUGUGGAAUUAGGAUUAGCCUGAGAAUAAUGUCCAGUUUGUCGCAUCUAUACUGCAGCUGGCAGGGGACGAUUUACAGAAACAAGGCAGGUUUACCACUGUAUUGUACAUGGACAAGCUGGAAGUAAUGAACAUUUCUAUGCAAGAGUUUGAAAAGCAGCUAAUAUUAUCAAAUCAAAAGUAUACCAUCAAGGAUAAAAGUGAAACUUCCACAUGUGUUCAUCACCAGCAUUAAACAUUUAUAUAUAAUCUAAGAAUUAUAUUUUAAACAAUAAAAUAAAACACAUUUGUGUUUCUUCUGCUCUACUUACA